GGCCACGGCCAUAUCACCCUGAACGCACUGGAUCUAGUCUGAUCUCGGAAGCUAAGCAAGGUCAGGCCUGAUUAGUACUUGGAUGGGAGAAAAAUUAGCCUGGCGUGGUGG
rnacentral:rRNA from 1 species